CACAGCGUUGCUUUUAUUACUUUAGGUAAGCAUUUGUCUCUUAAAUCAAUUAAGAAUAAGAAAAAUAAAAGCUUUCAUUUCAUCUUUCUUUAUUCUUUCUGAUGCUCCACUUUUUCUUUUUUUGUGGAUGUGAGUUCUGACCUCUAUCACUUUCCUUCUGUCUGAAGAUUUUUUAAUUUCUUGCAGGGCGAAUCUGCUGGAAAUGAAUUCCUUCAGGUUUUAUUUAUCUGAGAAAGCCUUUAUUUCUCCCUCAUCUUUGGAGGAUAAAUUUUCUGGAUAUAGAAUUCUAGUUUGUUGGUGUUCUUGUGCUUCCUGGACCUGCGAUUUGGUGUCUGUAAUGAAUUUCGGAAAGUUCGUGAACAUAGAGAUGGGAAAGGUUACCGCGUUGAGAGAGCAUCGCAGCCGCCAUUCUUUCCUCCGUGUUCUCUGUUUGCAUCGUUGGGGUGAAGAAGCAGCUGCAGCAGGUGGCAGCGUCCUCUGGCCUGAAGACGUGGGGAGGAGAUGGGAGAUUCCCUCCGGAGCUGACAAUCUGAUUGGGUUCUGUGUGAACAAGCCGUUGACCUUCCUGCUUCCUUUCAGCCCCAUAGCCUGGGGUAGGACGCAGUUCUGUGUUGGUCACUCGUGUUCAGCCUGCACACGGGGCUCAGAGCCUGGACUCGUGCUCCCUCGCCAGAACCAAGGGCUUUCCCGGGAGAGUGGAGUCAGCGUGAACGCCUGACAGAUGCUCUGAGCGCUGAGUGGAAAGACUUCUGCACUUGUGACACGUAUUUAUAGGAGUUACGUUAAAAUCCUUCUCACACAAUUCCAACCUCUGGCUUAUCUGGUAUCGUUACCCAUUGAUUGUCUUUUAUCAUUCAAGUUGUGAUUACUUUGACUCUUUGUAUGAUAAAUGAUUUUGGAGUGAAGCCGGACAUUUUGGGUAUUAUAUUGAGACUUUGGGUCCUUUUUAAUCUCCCUUUUGUUUUUGGGUAAGGAAGGUUGGCCCUGAGCUAACAUCUGUUGCCAAUCCUCCUGUUUUUGCUUGAAGAAGAUUGUCACUGAGCUAACAUCUGUGCCAGUCUUCCUCUAUUUUGUGUGUGGGAUGCUGCUGCAGUAAGGCUGAUGAGCAGUGUGUAGGUCCAUGCCUAGGAUCUGAA
rnacentral:lncRNA from 1 species